rnacentral:rRNA from 1 species
ACGCUGGCGGCGUGCCUAUCAUGCAAGUCGAGCGAAUGGAUUGAGAGCUUGCUCUCAUGAAGUUAGCGGCGGACGGGUGAGUAACACGUGGGUAACCUGCCCAUAAGACUGGGAUAACUCCGGGAAACCGGGGCUAAUACCGGAUAACAUUUUGAACUGCAUGGUUCGAAAUUGAAAGGCGGCUUCGGCUGUCACUUAUGGAUGGACCCGCGUCGCAUUAGCUAGUUGGUGAGGUAACGGCUCACCAAGGCAACGAUGCGUAGCCGACCUGAGAGGGUGAUCGGCCACACUGGGACUGAGACACGGCCCANACUCCUACGGGAGGCANCANUAAGGAAUCUUCCGCAAUGGACGAAAGUCUGACGGAGCAACGCCGCNUGAGUGAUGAAGGCUUUCCGGUCCUACNCUUCUGUUGUNAAGAGAACAUCAC